rnacentral:rRNA from 1 species
AUUGAACGCUAGCGGCAGGCUUUACACAUGCAAGUCGAACGGAGUGGCGGACGGGUGAGUAAUGUAUCGGAACGUGCCCAGUAGCGGGGGAUAACUACUCGAAACGGUGGCUAAUACCGCAUACUAUCGGAGCGGCCCAUAUAGGAUUAGCUAGUUGGUGGGGUAAAGGCUCACCAAGGCAACGAUCCCUAGCUGGUCUGAGAGGACGACCAGCCACACUGGGACUGAGACACGGCCCAGACUCCUACGGGCGGCAGCAGUGGGGAAUUUUGGACAAUGGGUGCAAGCCUGAUCCAGCCAUCCCGCGUGUAUGAAGAAGGCCUUCGGGUUGUAAAGUACUUUCGGCAGGGAGGCGUUACCUGCAGAAUAAGCACCGGCUAACUACGUGCCAGCAGCCGCGGUAAUAC